ACCUGGAAAAGUUGCUAAUCUCUACCAUAAAUCACUUUUUUCAAACUUCAAUGGCUGGAUUCACCUGAAACAUUAAGCCAAAACCAAAUGAACGACAUGAUGGCUUAUUGCCUGAAGAGAUUGGAAAACUUGAAGAUAAAUUAGAGUGUGCCAAUAAUGCUCUGCAAGCCGACUGGGAUAGAUGGAGGCAAAGCCUGCGUCUUGAUAUGAAAUCAGCAUUUAG